CGUGCAAUCAGCUCUGCGUCACUUCUCAGGAAGGGAAAGGGAUGCCAAUGCCCUGGCAGGCCACUAAAAGACUUUCCCCAGUCUUGGAAAUAAGAAUCUCUUGUUCCUUGUGGGUGUGGGAGGAGAGGGAGGACACAAGCUACAUCCAGCUUUCUUUUCCUCAGAAUUGAGUCACUGGCUCUUGAAAUGAUAAAUAACAGCGCAUCUGAUUGGGAUGUUUUGCAUCCCUCAUGAAUGGAAACAACUGAGCGAGGAGUGGAAGUCAGGAAAGCCGGCAGUGGUCUCUGAAACUUCGGACCCCUAAGUGGUGGCACGCGGCUUCUCCAAACAGGUUGCCGCGAUCAAUUUCACUUGCAUGCCCGCUUCACAACUGUGGCUUCUUGCCGUUGCCCACUGAAAGACUUGGCCACUGCUGCCCCCUGAUGGAUUAAUAAAUCCCUCUCCAUCUGUACAGGUGAAGGAGGAUAUGGCUCUACUAGGAAGACACCACUGGGGAUUGUGGAAAAAGAAGAAGAGGUUGAUCCGAUUAAUGCAUGGCCAUUGGUUAUUCUUGAGCGUUGGAUGGAUGGACAAGAACAUUCAUUGUUCCAGACAGCAAGGCCAUUGCAUUAUCUGGAGGACCAAGUUGGAGAAAGCUGACGUGUACAAACAGCAAAAACCAAGAGCCGUCCCUCCCACUGAAAUAAUUUCUAUGCAAAUUGUUUUAUCUAGCAAAGGCAAAAUUGUGCCAAGAUCUUAAUCUUUCCUAGAAUGACUCCCUUUUAAGUUCCUUCAACUUAAUUCCGACAGAUUGCCAACAAAAAAAAACAACACCCCCAAAAAAACCCAAACAAAAAACACAAAUGGGGUGUGCAUAUGCGCGCCAGCUUGCCUACCAUCCCUGUCC